AGCAAUAACAGUUGUCUUUCAAAUAAACAUCUGGAAAACCAGAGGUAAUGUUGAUUCAGACACUGGCAGAACUUGGAAAGACUGUUAAUGAUUUGAAAAGAAGAAAAUCCAGUCUAUGUUAUAGGAGGUGACUCUCCGGUAGAGGAAGAUAAAGCCUUGCUUUCUUGUUGGGCAUCGUGGGGGGACUUGGCUUUGGCAGAUAUCCCCAACACAAAGGACACCGUAUUUUUGGGUAGAGGACUUGUGCUCUCAGUCUCCUGGUGCUCGUGUGCCUAGAGGAAGGAGAAGCCUGAGCCAGCAAUGGGGCUGCGCUUUGCAAUUG
rnacentral:lncRNA from 1 species